UACAGAGGUGGCAAGCGUUGUUCGGAAUUACUGGGCGUAAAGGGCGCGUAGGCGGUCCGAUACGUCCUGUGUGAAAUCCCUCGGCUCAACUGAGGAACUGCACGGGAGACUGUCGGGCUUGAGUUCGGGAGAGGGAAGCGGAAUUCCGGGUGUAGCGGUGAAAUGCGUAGAUAUCCGGAGGAACACCGGUGGCGAAGGCGGCUUCCUGGACCGACACUGACGCUGAGGCGCGAAAGCUAGGGGAGCAAACGGG
rnacentral:rRNA from 1 species